rnacentral:rRNA from 1 species
GACAAACGCUGGCGGCGUGCUUAACACAUGCAAGUCGAACGAUGAAGCCGGAGCUUGCUCUGGUGGAUUAGUGGCGAACGGGUGAGUAACACGUGAGUAACCUGCCCUUGACUCUGGGAUAAGCGUUGGAAACGACGUCUAAUACCGGAUACGAGCUAGGACCGCAUGGUCACUAGCUGGAAAGAACUUCGGUCAAGGAUGGACUCGCGGCCUAUCAGCUAGUUGGUGAGGUAACGGCUCACCAAGGCGACGACGGGUAGCCGGCCUGAGAGGGUGACCGGCCACACUGGGACUGAGACACGGCCCAGACUCCUACGGGAGGCAGCGGUGGGGAAUAUUGCACAAUGGGCGCAAGCCUGAUGCAGCAACGCCGCGUGAGGGACGACGGCCUUCGGGUUGUAAACCUCUUUUAGCAGGGAAGAAGCGCAAGUGACGGUACCUGCAGAAAAAGCACCGGCUAACUACGUGCCAGCAGCCGCAGUAACAC